AACUGAGGGUAGCGGAGAAAUUCCAAUCGAACUUGGAGAUAGCUGGUUCUCUCCGAAAUAGCUUUAGGGCUAGCCUCAAGUGAUGAUUAUUGGAGGUAGAGCACUGUUUGGACGAGGGGCCCCUCUCGGGUUACCGAAUUCAGACAAACUCCGAAUGCCAAUUAAUUUAACUUGGGAGUCAGAACAUGGGUGAUAAGGUCCGUGUUCGAAAGGGAAACAGCCCAGACCACCAGCU
rnacentral:rRNA from 1 species